rnacentral:lncRNA from 1 species
CAACGAAAGAUUUGACACCUGUAACUACAGGAAAACAAACUGAAAAAAAAAAGAAACGGACAAAUGAAAAUUUUAUAUCAUCAAACAGAUAAACAACACUGAAGGUAGCUUAAGAACAUGAAAUGGAUUUAAAUUUGGCCUCUAAACGGAAUUUAAUUCAGAUUUUCAUUAUUUCAGCUUAACCGUGAAACUGCCCCCUCUCCAAUAAAAACCACUAACUAAAGAAUGAAACGAC